CCGGAAGGAGCAGUGGAGGGAUAAGAAGAGAGAAUGCCGGAAUGAGUAGCGAGAGGAAGGUGAGAAUCCUUCCGGCCGAAUAUCCAAGGUUUCCAGAGUAAAGCUGAUCUGCUCUGGGUAAGUCGGGACCUAAGGCGAGGCCGAAAGGCGUAGUCGAUGGACAACAGGUAGAGAUUCCUGUACCCGUAUAUAUGUGAAGGAAUGACGGAGAGAGGAAGCUGCAGCCAGCGGCUGGAAGAGCUGGUGCAAGCGAGAUAUCGGGAUGGCAGGCAAAUCCACCAUCCGAAACGAGAAGGCGUGAAGCGUACGGAAAGCUACGGCGAGUACGGAAGGCAGUGGAGGAACUUCCAAGAAAAGUUUCUAACGUUAAGUAUAUAUGGCCCGUACCGAAAAUGGACACACAUGGGUGAGGAGAGAAUCCUAAGGUGAGCGAGAGAACUAUAGCUAAGGAACUCUGCAAAAUGACUCCGUAACUUAGGGAGAAGGAGUGCUCAUAGAGAUAUGAGCCGCAGUGAAACGGCCCAAGCGACUGUUUACCAAAAACACAGCUCUCUGCUAAGCCGCAAGGCGAAGUAUAGGGGGUGACGCCUGCCCGGUGCUGGAAGGUUAAGGGGAGGGGUUAACGCAAGUGAAGCCCUGAACUGAAGCCCCAGUAAACGGCGGCCGUAACUAUAACGGUCCUAAGGUAGCGAAAUUCCUUGUCAGGUAAGUUCUGACCCGCACGAAAGGCGUAACGAUUUGGGCGCUGUCUCAGCUGUAGACUCGGUGAAGUCUUAGUACCUGUGAAGAUGCAGGUUACCCGCGACUAGACGGAAAGACCCCAUGGAGCUUCACUGCAGGUUGAUAUUGGGAUUUGAUGCAGCAUGUACAGGAUAGGUAGGAGGCAAAGAGAUGGAUACGCCAGUAUUCAAGGAGCCGCUGUUGGGAUACUACCCCUGUUGUAUUGGAUUUCUAACCGGACGACGUAGAGCCGUUGACGGGACAGUGUCAGUCGGGCAGUUUGACUGGGGCGGUCGCCUCCCAAAGAGUAACGGAGGCGCCCAAAGAUACCCUCAGCUUGGAUGGAAACCAAGCGCAGAGUGCAAAGGCAAAAGGGUGUUUGACUGCGAGACCCACAAGUCGAGCAGGGACGAAAGUCGGGCUUAGUGAUCCGGCGGUGCUGAAUGGAAAGGCCGUCGCUCAACGGAUAAAAGCUACCCUGGGGAUAACAGGCUGAUCUCCCCCAA
rnacentral:rRNA from 1 species